AUUGGUCCUCCCAGUGUGCACCGAACUGCCCCUGGCUUGGAGUGCAGGAUGAACACCUUCCUGCAGUGCAGACAGCCCUGUCUUUGCAGUGUAUGGACUAGGGACAGAUUAUAGCUUUUUGGUGUAACCCUCACAAAACUGAACUUUCCAGCAUUGAAACCGAGAGCCAAAGAAGCCCAGCAGAGGAAAGGAGGAGAAGAACACAUGAAAGGCUGUGAGGCUGAUUCUACCACUGAUGGUCUGUUUUUCUCUACCUGGACACCCAGGAAAAGACAGCCCUGGCAUCACUUCAGAUUUGGUGCAUAACCCACCAUCCAGAAUCCCUCCGGUGUCGGCUGAAAUCCUCGUGUUCGUAUUCCAAGGAAAACUGCUGCAGUUGUCUUCAGCUGUUGCCUCUGUUGGUGGUCCUUGUAGAGAAGCCAAGGGCUGGGGUGAUCUCAGGAGAAUGCUCAGGGGGAAUUCAGGGACGAGAAAUUUAAUGGCUGCAGUUUUAUAAUCUUUAUCAGACCAUCAAGGCUGGAAUCGAAAGGUAGGAGUUAUCAUCUCCACGAGUUCUGUCAUCUCAGUCAACCUUCAAGAGAAAAUCAUUGCAAGACAGCCUCUGUGCCUGCGGAGAACUGGGUUGUGUGGCACAGCCAGGGAUGCAGUUGGCCAAGAGCCACCUCUGACAGCAGCCAAGAGAAACCAUUUUUGGGGAGGUGCUUCUUCAAGUAUGAGUGAGAAUGAGAAGCAACCAUUGAACAAGAGGCGCAUUCCUCCAGACAUCUUCCGAAUGGCACAAGGGAGCUGCUGCUGCUGCUUCUGACCUGCUGAACUACAUUCAAUCCAGAUGAGAAACAGGAGAACAUGGAGGUUUUGCAAUUUGAGCGGAGCCGUGCGGGAGCUCUUUGGCAGAAGAGGUGGCCUCCCGAGGGAGCAACUGAGCCCACAAGAGUAAAGGACAAACUCGGAGAGGGAUCAGAGGUUCUAAUUUUAUGGAAAUAUCCUCAUAAAACAGAGCUGUAGCACAGCGUCUGUCCCAAAGCUGAACAACAGCUGCACCAGGAGACAACCCUGCACAGGAGACAAGAACUUCUGAAAUGCCAUCAGGGACUACCAGAAAGCACCACAGCAAACACCCCAAAACACAGGAAGGAGCUGCAGAAAGCCAGUGUGAGGAUCAAAAGAACAACAUCCCAGGUAAUUGUUAAGCUAUUAGGGAACAUUCCUGACAUCCUGCAAAUCUUCAGCAAUGAACAUGGAAGAAGAGGAAAAGACAGUGACAAGACAUUACUUCCUACAUAAGGUA